rnacentral:lncRNA from 1 species
UGCUUGAGUCUCCUACUGGAUCUGCCUCUGGUAAGGACGUGAGGGAUGCCACCUUCUGCUUAAUAUGGAUAUUCUGGAUAAUUAUUCUGGAUAUUCUGCCUAUCAUACGUAGGCGGCAGAUCACUGCCACUCAACAUUCUGUCCUGUAAACAUCUGAUAUGGACUCCUCAUGUAACAAAUCAACAUUUUGGAUCCUUAACAUUGGUACUUGUGUGUUUAGUGUGUACUCAUCACACACAUAAUUAUCACGUACUUGGUCAUCCUUAGAAGGGAUGAGCCCCCACAACAUGCCGGUCUUUUUAGGUGCUGGGGGUGAGGCAGAGAACAGAACAUCCUUGGCCCCUGCCCUGGCCCAGAGCUUCCCAUCUAGCAGGCAUCCAGGGGUCUGCAUCUGCUCUGUCUGCUGUGCACACACACAACGGGGUGUUCAGGAGUCUGUUGGGUAUCCUCUUUGCAGGGUCCACAGUUCCUUCUGUGCUGCUUCCAGGGUGGGUGGGUCCUCUGUUGUCAUUACACACACCCCUUUUGAGUUCCCUCCUUACUAGUGGGACCCAUGUGCCUUUGUAUACAGACGGGGUGGGUGUUUCCUGGGUUUCCUUGUGUUCUACGCACUCUGUGGGUCUCUGGAACUUGCCUGUGGGUGUCUAUCAUGUCCACGCCAGGUUCUCGACUGGACCGGGUUGGUGGCCUGAAUGUAUUAGCUUCGCUGCGUCUGCCCAAGAGGUAAGGGACACGGCCCAGAGCUUUGCUUGUGGCUGUGCUCCAGGUCCUGUUUCCUCUCAAUGCUCCUGCUUUCUCUUCCUCUUCCCUGGCCCCACCCGGGAGACUGCCCUUCCUCAUUCUGCCUCUGCCCUUGCGAUUUGUGUUUUCAUCCUCUGUGCAUCCUGUGGCUUUCUGGCCAAACCAGAAAGUUCUGGUUCUGGGUGGAGGUGACUGUGGUGGUUUCUGCUGAUGAGUGUUGGGGCUCAGUAGGAAAGAGAUGGGGAUAAUGUGGUGGCUCAAACCAGCUUGGGGUCAGGCACGCCUGUGUCUAAGUCUCUUUUCUGUCCCUUCUUAACCUUGAGUGACUUGGAACCAUCAGAGCCUCUGUUUCCUCGUCUAUAAAAGGGAAUAACACCAGAACCCACCUUAAGCGCUGUCCUGAGAAUGGAAGUCUAGUGAGGCAGUUCAGAUUCCAGCUCCAGAGCCGGAUGGUGCCAGCUCUGCCCCGUGCCAGCUGGGUGAGCCUCAGUUUCCCUAUCUGUCAAACGAGGGUAAUAAGAGCGCCCACUACACAGGACGUGAGGGUGAAAGCAGCUACUCCAUGAAAGCAUGUAGCCUCAGGACCUGGGAGCUCGAAAUACAGCUGGAAGCUCCCCUGAGCGAGUGAGGAUUUGUGAGGCCCCUUCCCAGAGCCCACUGAGACUCCUGAACAGAAGCGGGAGUUCUCCAGCUGCUCAGCUCUGCAAGAAGCGGGGGAUCUGGGCAUCUGCUCCAGUGCUCGCUCCGCUGGCUUGGUGAGGCUCCGCAGGGAGCGUGCAGUGAUGGGGGACAG